AGUGAACGCUGGCGGCGUGCCUAAUACAUGCAAGUCGAACGGACGAGUAAGAGCUUGCUCUUAUGAGUUAGUGGCGCACGGGUGAGUAAUGUAUAGCUAAUCUGCCCUACACUAGAGGACAACAGUUGGAAACGACUGCUAAUACUCUAUACUCCUAUCUAACAUAAGUUAGAUAGGGAAAGUUCUUCGGUGUAGGAUGAGGCUAUAUUGUAUCAGCUAGUUGGUGAGGUAAUGGCUCACCAAGGCUAUAACGCAUAACUGGUCUGAGAGGAUGAUCAGUCACACUGGAACUGAGACACGGUCCAGACUCCUACGGGAGGCAGCAGUAGGGAAUAUUGCUCAAUGGGGGAAACCCUGAAGCAGCAACGCCGCGUGGAGGAUGACACUUUUCGGAGCGUAAACUCCUUUUGUUAGGGAAGAACAAUGACGGACCUAACGAAAAGC
rnacentral:rRNA from 1 species